UGUUAUAUGUGGGCUAGGCAGCAGUAUCAGUCUGAGAGCAGCUACGGUCAUGAACGCCGCUUUCUUCGUUCCUGCGCUUUUUCUUAUUGGGCUGACGUACUUUUCGACCUCGAAUGGUGUGAAAAGAGACAGACAAAAUGUUGUCCAGGCACUCAGCUAUUCGGAAAGCGAAAACGAAUUUUACGGGGAAAGCUUAUAUCCUGACUUGAAGAUUGAGAGCAGGAAAGAAGGAACCCAGGGACGAAAGAAGAGAGGCAGGAGAAACAACAAUGGAACGAAGAUACGUCCGCUCGGCCUUAAUGUCACCGUUCAAGGCUCGUUUCGCGUGACAAAUGCUACUUAUGGAACAAAUAGAACAGUAUUCUCCUCAUCGUACAUCGGAAAUUGGAGCGAACACGCCCAAUGUCUUAUGCCGGAAUGGGUACAGCCUUUGC
rnacentral:lncRNA from 1 species